CCCACUAGGCUAUAGCAAUGAGUUAGAGAGACUCACUCCUGGUGAGUUGUAUCUACUGCAGACAGGCCUGAGCAAGAAACUCCAAAUUCUAACCUGGAUUUAUCCAGAUCCCUUGUCUAGGCAUGUCCUACGAGGAUACUGACUCCACUCUUCUCCUUCUUUGGUGGUGUGAGAAUGGCAGAAAUGUCCUGUUCUAAUAAUCCCUGGAAUCCUUGAAGGACAUGGUGCUGGAGGGAGCAGCAUGGCUGCUCUGGACAGAACAAGACAACAAACAGCAACAUGAUAGUCAUUCUGCAGCCCUCCUGGCUGCCUUCCCAUCUGGGAGCAGAAGCCACAAGGUAGCAGAAAGCUCCUUUACAUUCCCACCACAUCACUCAGCUGAGGUCAGAAAACCAAACUGGAAAUCAAGACCUCCAUUUUGAAUAGUUCUUGAGUGUAAUGUGAGGACAAUCACCAUGGGAAAGGCUCUAGGUUUAAAUGUUCCCCAGUAGAUCAGCUAUAGCAUAAACACUGACAUUUCCAAACAGACCUAGUCCCCCUGGGGAGAUUAGAGUAAAUCCCAGUACUUUAUUCUAGCUAUAAUCCCAAACAGCAACAUAUCUGGAUCUGAUGUAAAAGAUUAAAUAAUUCUUCCUUUA